CUGGCUAAUUAUGGUUUUCAGCUCAUAAUAGAAUUUUCAAAGCCCUCCCCAGCGACCAUUUUCAUUCAUAUUGAGCAACAUUAUUGGCAUCGCUAUGCCUGAAAGGUGUAGGUUAGUUUUUGGAAAUGUUAGCCNAAUUAUCAAAACAAAAACGCUCCUCUGCCAGUCAUAUCUUUGCAAAAUUUAUCUAAAACUAAAUAAACAUACAAACGCACCAGAUUCUGAAUUACCUCUGAUUUGAAUAGUCUGAUUGACAU
rnacentral:misc_RNA from 1 species